GAUGAACGCUGGCGGCGUGCCUAAUACAUGCAAGUCGAGCGAACAGACGAGGAGCUUGCUCCUCUGACGUUAGCGGCGGACGGGUGAGUAACACGUGGAUAACCUACCUAUAAGACUGGGAUAACUUCGGGAAACCGGAGCUAAUACCGGAUAAUAUAUUGAACCGCAUGGUUCAAUAGUGAAAGACGGUUUUGCUGUCACUUAUAGAUGGAUCCGCGCCGCAUUAGCUAGUUGGUAAGGUAACGGCUUACCAAGGCAACGAUGCGUAGCCGACCUGAGAGGGGGAUCGGCCACACUGGAACUGGGACACGGUCCAGACUCCUACGGGAGGCAGCAGUAGGGAAUCUUCCGCAAUGGGCGAAAGCCUGACGGAGCAACGCCGCGUGAGUGAUGAAGGUCUUCGGAUCGUAAAACUCUGUUAUUAGGGAAGAACAAAUGUGUAAGUAACUAUGCACGUCUUGACGGUACCGAAUCAGAAAGCCACGGCUAACUACGUG
rnacentral:rRNA from 1 species